AGGCAAAUCUACUCUCAUCUUACGAAAGUGUCCUUCACCAGUCACGGCUGUGACAGAGAGCAAGUAUGAUCCUGAGACUUGAAUGGGCCAUAUUUGGCCAAGAUGCACUUGAAAUCCUCGAAUCCCCUGAUUGCCCGAACCAUCCAGAUCUGCAAAAUUGCCCUUGUUUGAAGAUAAGAUCUCCUUCACUUAAAGACCAUUCAGAGUCCCCCAGUGAGCCUGGAGUUGGCUGGUUCCGAUCCUGGGCGCGGACAUGGCACCGCUUGGCAAAAGCCAUGCUAUGGUUGUUAUUAUAUAACACUGCAAUAAUACUUUAAAAGUAAAAAAAAUCUAGCCACCAACAAGUAAAUAUGGUUUUAAUGAGCAUAUGACUGCCAUCCCCCCUGGACUGACUAAAGUCAUUUAUUAUUUGGCAUUAUCUACUUAUAUCCUUUUAGUAGUGAAAUGGCAUUUGAAUUUGUGAUCUCUGCUUUGUUCAAAAUUCAGGAAAGCUAUUCCACAGCGCAAUCUUCUAACUGGUGCUUAUGAUUGAUCUCAUGGCUUCUUUGUUCUAAGUUCUAUCGGUGAUAUCUACCAAGUUUACUGGAUAAGCAAAACAAUUUUUCAGAAAAUUCCAAGUAUGUCUUCUUCUUAAGAAUUUGCAGUGGACCUUAUAUAUCAUACAUACCAGCAAAAAGAUGGUGAUAUGUUUCCAUGGAAAUACAACUUCCACAAAAAUUCUUCUAUGUUACCUUUUCACUUGGAUACUUAGCCACUGAAGAUUAUUCUUUCAGGAGUUUAAUGGUUUAACUUCUUGAGAUUUCUAAUGACUAAUUUUAAUGGAGAUUUUAGAAAAAAAAUCAUUGCAUAGCUGUUCAAUAAGCUGUGAAGUAAU
rnacentral:lncRNA from 1 species